GACGUAGGUGGCAAGCGUUGUUCGGAAUCACUGGGCAUAAAGCGCACGUAGGCGGCCAAGUCAGUCAGGUGUGAAAUACCUCGGCUCAACCGAGGAACUGCGCCUGAUACUGCUUGGCUUGAGGUCCGGAGGGGAGAGUGGAAUUCCCGGUGGAGCGGUGAAAUGCGUAGAUACUGGGAGGAACACCGGUGGCGAAGGCGGCUACCUGGACGGGUACUGACGCUGAGGCGCGAAAGCUAGGGGAGCAAACAGG
rnacentral:rRNA from 1 species